UUACGGCCACAUCACGUUGAAACACCGUUUCCCGGCCGAUCACUUAAGUUAAGCAACGUCAAACCUGAUCAGUAUCUAGAUGGAUGACCAUCUUGGGAAUACCAGGUGCUGUAAG